rnacentral:rRNA from 1 species
UUGACCCGUCGAUGUCCGAAUGGGGAAACCCAGUGUGAUUCGACACACUAUCGUUAACUGAAUACAUAGGUUAACGAGGCGAACCGGGGGAACUGAAACAUCUAAGUACCCCGAGGAAAAGAAAUCAACCGAGAUUCCCCCAGUAGCGGCGAGCGAACGGGGAGCAGCCCGGAGUCUGAAUCAGCUUGUGUGUUAGUGGAAGCGUCUGGAAAGUCGCACGGUACAGGGUGACAGUCCCGUACACGAAAAUGCACAGGUUGUGAACUCGAAGAGUAGGGCGGGACACGUGGUAUCCUGUCUGAAUAUGGGGGGACCAUCCUCCAAGGCUAAAUACUCCUGACUGACCGAUAGUGAACCAGUACCGUGAGGGAAAGGCGAAAAGAACCCCGGCGAGGGGAGUGAAAAAGAACCUGAAACCGUGUACGUACAAGCAGUGGGAGCACCUUCGGGUGUGACUGCGUACCUUUUGUAUAAUGGGUCAGCGACUUAUAUUCUGUAGCAAGGUUAACCGUAUAGGGGAGCCGCAGGGAAACCGAGUCUUAACUGGGCGUUAAGUUGCAGGGUAUAGACCCGAAACCCGGUGAUCUAGCCAUGGGCAGGUUGAAGGUUGGGUAACACUAACUGGAGGACCGAACCGACUAAUGUUGAAAAAUUAGCGGAUGACCUGUGGCUGGGGGUGAAAGGCCAAUCAAACCGGGAGAUAGCUGGUUCUCCCCGAAAGCUAUUUAGGUAGCGCCUCGUGAACUCAUCUUCGGGGGUAGAGCACUGUUUCGGCUAGGGGGCCAUCCCGGCUUACCAACCCGAUGCAAACUACGAAUACCGAAGAAUGUUAUCACGGGAGACACACGGCGGGUGCUAACGUCCGUCGUGAAGAGGGAAACAACCCAGACCGCCAGCUAAGGUCCCAAAGUCAUGGUUAAGUGGGAAACGAUGUGGGAAGGCACAGACAGCCAGGAUGUUGGCUUAGAAGCAGCCAUCAUUUAAAGAAAGCGUAAUAGCUCACUGGUCGAGUCGGCCUGCGCGGAAGAUGUAACGGGGCUAAACCAUGCACCGAAGCUGCGGCAGCGACGCUUAUGCGUUGUUGGGUAGGGGAGCGUUCUGUAAGCCGUCGAAGGUGUGCUGUGAGGCAUGCUGGAGGUAUCAGAAGUGCGAAUGCUGACAUAAGUAACGAUAAAGCGGGUGAAAAGCCCGCUCGCCGGAAGACCAAGGGUUCCUGUCCAACGUUAAUCGGGGCAGGGUGAGUCGACCCCUAAGGCGAGGCCGAAAGGCGUAGUCGAUGGGAAACAGGUUAAUAUUCCUGUACUUGGUGUUACUGCGAAGGGGGGACGGAGAAGGCUAUGUCAGCCGGGCGACGGUUGUCCCGGUUUAAGCGUGUAGGUGUGUGUUCCAGGCAAAUCCGGUUCACUUUAACACUGAGGCGUGAUGACGAGGCACUACGGUGCUGAAGUGAUAAAUGCCCUGCUUCCAGGAAAAGCCUCUAAGCAUCAGGUAACACGAAAUCGUACCCCAAACCGACACAGGUGGUCAGGUAGAGAAUACCAAGGCGCUUGAGAGAACUCGGGUGAAGGAACUAGGCAAAAUGGUGCCGUAACUUCGGGAGAAGGCACGCUGAUAUGUAGGUGAAGUCCCUGCGGACGGAGCUGAAAUCAGUCGAAGAUACCAGCUGGCUGCAACUGUUUAUUAAAAACACAGCACUGUGCAAACACGAAAGUGGACGUAUACGGUGUGACGCCUGCCCGGUGCCGGAAGGUUAAUUGAUGGGGUUAGCGGCAACGCGAAGCUCUUGAUCGAAGCCCCGGUAAACGGCGGCCGUAACUAUAACGGUCCUAAGGUAGCGAAAUUCCUUGUCGGGUAAGUUCCGACCUGCACGAAUGGCGUAAUGAUGGCCAGGCUGUCUCCACCCGAGACUCAGUGAAAUUGAACUCGCUGUGAAGAUGCAGUGUACCCGCGGCAAGACGGAAAGACCCCGUGAACCUUUACUAUAGCUUGACACUGAACACUGGUCCUUGAUGUGUAGGAUAGGUGGGAGGCUUUGAAGCGUGGACGCCAGUCUGCGUGGAGCCGUCCUUGAAAUACCACCCUUUAAUGGCUGGUGUUCUAACGUGGACCCGUAAUCCGGGUUGCGGACAGUGUCUGGUGGGUAGUUUGACUGGGGCGGUCUCCUCCCAAAGAGUAACGGAGGAGCACGAAGGUUAGCUAAUCCUGGUCGGACAUCAGGAGGUUAGUGCAAUGGCAUAAGCUAGCUUGACUGCGAGAGUGACGGCUCGAGCAGGUGCGAAAGCAGGUCAUAGUGAUCCGGUGGUUCUGAAUGGAAGGGCCAUCGCUCAACGGAUAAAAGGUACUCCGGGGAUAACAGGCUGAUACCGCCCAAGAGUUCAUAUCGACGGCGGUGUUUGGCACCUCGAUGUCGGCUCAUCACAUCCUGGGGCUGAAGUAGGUCCCAAGGGUAUGGCUGUUCGCCAUUUAAAGUGGUACGCGAGCUGGGUUUAGAACGUCGUGAGACAGUUCGGUCCCUAUCUGCCGUGGGCGCUGGAGAAUUGAGGGGGGCUGCUCCUAGUACGAGAGGACCGGAGUGGACGCAUCACUGGUGUUCGGGUUGUCAUGCCAAUGGCACUGCCCGGUAGCUAAAUGCGGAAGAGAUAAGUGCUGAAAGCAUCUAAGCACGAAACUUGCCCCGAGAUGAGUUCUCCCUGAGACUUUAAGUCUCCUGAAGGAACGUUGAAGACGACGACGUUGAUAGGCCGGGUGUGUAAGCGCAGCGAUGCGUUGAGCUAACCGGUACUAAUGAACCGUGAGGCUUAACCUU